rnacentral:rRNA from 1 species
UACGUAGGGGGCAAGCGUUGUCCGGAUUUAUUGGGCGUAAAAGGCUUGUAGGUGGCCACGCCAAGUCGGAUGUGAAAUCUCCCGGCUCAACUGGGAGGGGUCAUUCGAUACUGGCGGGCUCGAGGCCGGUAGGGGGAAGUGGAAUUCCCGGUGUAGUGGUGGAAUGCGUAGAUAUCGGGAGUAACACCAGUGGCGAAGGCGGCUUCCUGGACCGGUUCUGACACUGAGGAGCGAAAGCGUGGGGAGCGAUCCGG